rnacentral:antisense_RNA from 1 species
CUUCAGCGAACCGAUCAGCAGUGGCCGGUCGGCCGGCCGGUUCUGCCCGUAGGUGGCGAGCAGGGCAUGCGCCUC